rnacentral:siRNA from 1 species
UCAUGUGAGCAGAAAGAGUAG